GACGAAGAACGUAGCGAAAUGCGAUAAGUAAUGUGAAUUGCAGAAUUCAGUGAAUCAUCGAAUCUUUGAACGCACAUUGCGCCCGCCAGUAUUCUGGCGGGCAUGCCUGUCUGAGCGUCAUUUCAACCCUCAUGCCCCUCGGGCGUGGUGUUGGGGAUCGGCCAAAGCCCGCGAGGGACGGCCGGCCCCUAAAUCUAGUGGCGGACCCGUCGUGGCCUCCUCUGCGAAGUAGUGAUAUUCCGCAUCGGAGAGCGACGAGCCCCUGCCGUUAAACCCCCAACUUUCCAAGGUUGACCUCAGAUCAGGUAGGAAUACCCGCUGAACUUAAGCAUAUCAAUAAGCGGAGGA
rnacentral:misc_RNA from 1 species